UUACUGUGGCCUGCCAGGGGGUCCAGACUUGUCGGUCGAAGUUCGAUUGGAGUCGGUAGCGAGGUCCGGUAUCCGUAGGAGUUUGGGCGAGAUCUUUCCGCAGUCGGAAUAUAAGAUGGAGUCUGGCUUCCGUAGGAGUCCGGAUGAAGUCUACUUGCAGUUAAAGUUAAAGGCGAAGUCCGGCUCCCGUAGGAGUCCGGACAAGG
rnacentral:lncRNA from 1 species